rnacentral:rRNA from 1 species
CCCUUAGAUGUCCGGGGCCGCACGCGCGCUACACUGAAGGAAUCAGCGUGGCUUUCUCCCUGACCCGAAAGGGUUGGGAAACCCGUUGAAUCUCCUUCGUGAUAGGGAUUGGGGCUUGAAAUUGUUCCCCAUGAACGAGGAAUGCCUAGUAGGCGCAAGUCAUCAGCUUGCGUCGAUUACGUCCCUGCCCUUUGUACACACCGCCCGUCGCUCCUACCGAUUGGGUGUGCUGGUGAAAUGUUCGGAUCGGCCGUUUGUCGCGGUUUCCGCGUCAUGUGGCUGAGAAGUUCAUUAAACCCUCCCACCUAGAGGAAGGAGAAGUCGUAACA